AAGAAAAGAAAAAGUUGAAAAGUGGGUGUGAUAUUUUCUUCCCUAGCAUCCCAGGUACCCCACCCCUAAAGUCAAAUUCCCUUAUCUUCUUUGCUGCACCAGAAAGCACUCCUUGCUCAUCUUCCUUUACUUUUUCUUUUCUUCUUCCUUUGCUCUACCCGGCAGCACCUCUCUUUCACCCUCUCACCAAAAAUCAUAGACAACUCUCUUUAAGAAGAAAUUAAAGUGUUAACACUAAAAUUUCAGCUUCAAAUUGUUGUGGGUGGCGAGAACGAGAAUACGGACACUUGAGCUCCUCGUGUACAAUCUCUCGCCCCUUCUGUUUUCAAGUAAGGGACUUGUGACAUGUGCUUUUGAUAAGUAUAAAGAUUAUUUCGAAAAGUAUUAUGCAUUAAAGCUUUUGAUUAGAGAUAUUACAUAUAUGCAUGAUUUAAGUAAAAUAUGUGUUCGUGAAUUAUUCAAUCUUAUAUACAUAAUAAUUUUAGCAUAUUAAUGCUAUUAUUUGUAUCACGAACAUAUUAUUUAAGAAUAAAGUGGAUAUGCUACUAUUGUAAACAUUUAUGUAAAAGCAAAGUUAUCAGAAAAAUAUAGUUUUUGGUUACACUAUUGUUAUGAUUUGAACUCAGCCAAUAGGUUAUAGUACUGGCAUUUCCAUGGAGAUUCUGAUUGGCUAUUAAAAGUGGGACUGACUUUGUUGUACCCGCCCUUGUUGGUAACAACCAACUUGUGGAGGAUGUCAACCUACCCCCAUGGUUGAAAGUAUGUAUUAUGAUAUGAUUCCGGAAUUACCUGACAUUGUGGGGAAUGUUGGAUGCCUGGCACUCUGUGCUGGAAGUCUCCCAAAAGUUGUGACAGACUUACAAUUAGAUUAACUAAUAUGUAUUAUAAAUGAGAUAUAAAUCUAUUUGGAAAUUAUAAGAAAAGUAUGAUGAUAAGAAACGUAUAUUGAAUGUGUUAUAAAUCUAAUGAGAAGUUAUGAUAAAGUAUUUGAUAGUCUGUUCAAAGAUAAGAUUACUGAACUUAUAUUUAAGUUCCUUAUUAUGUCAUUUUAUUUAUUAUAUGAAAAAAAAAAAUGAAGUAUUCUCAUCUAAAAGCUCUUAAGUUAUUUUUAAGAACAAUAUGAACAGUAUGAAGGCUAUUUUAUCAAAUCUGGCAUAUCCAUAAACUAUUUGAUUUACAUGCAUUCUUAUUAAAGAUCCAUGGAGCUUUAAAACCUUACUGGGCUUCGCAGCGCACCCUAUUAUAUUUCAGUGCACAGGUUAUUCCUAGAAGUAGCGAGAGUAUUAGAAGUGGCAAGGAUUCUGUGUUUUCUCGUUUGUUAGAAUGUAGAGUUUUGUUGUAUAGUAGUUAGCUCUUUUGUUGUAUAGGAGGAAUCAAGAUGUACUUAAUCCUUUGAGCACAGAUGUAAUUUAGUACCUUAGUUUGUUUUGAACCCUAGUUGUAUGCCUUUGGGUUUAGGUUUGUAAUAAAAGUUUUGCUAAACAUUUAGCCAUGUAAUAUUUACACGAAUACCUUAAAUUCAGCCAGGUGGUAAUUUUCCAAGUUCAAAGGAAAUGAAAUUUCAAGGUUGCCAUCA